rnacentral:rRNA from 1 species
UACAGAGGGUGCAAGCGUUUAAUCGGAAUUACUGGGGCGUAAAGCGUGCGCAGGCGGUUUGUUAAGACAGAUGUGAAAUCCCCGGGCUUAACCCUGGGAACUGCAUUUGUGACUGGCAAGCUAGAGUAUGGCAGAGGGGGGUAGAAUUCCACGUGUAGCAGUGAAAUGCGUAGAGAUGUGGAGGAAUACCGAUGGCGAAGGCAGCCCCCUGGGCCAAUACUGACGCUCAUGCACGAAAGCGUGGGGAGCAAACAGG